AGAGUUUGAUCCUGGCUCAGAUUGAACGCUGGCGGCAUGCCUUACACAUGCAAGUCGAACGGCAGCGCGGGAGCAAUCCUGGCGGCGAGUGGCGAACGGGUGAGUAAUAUAUCGGAACGUGCCCUGGAGUGGGGGAUAACUAGUCGAAAGACUAGCUAAUACCGCAUACGAUCUAAGGAUGAAAGUGGGGGAUCGCAAGACCUCAUGCUCCUGGAGCGGCCGAUAUCUGAUUAGCUAGUUGGUGGGGUAAAAGCUCACCAAGGCGACGAUCAGUAGCUGGUCUGAGAGGACGACCAGCCACACUGGGACUGAGACACGGCCCAGACUCCUACGGGAGGCAGCAGUGGGGAAUUUUGGACAAUGGGGGCAACCCUGAUCCAGCAAUGCCGCGUGUGUGAAGAAGGCCUUCGGGUUGUAAAGCACUUUUGUCAGGAAAGAAAUCGCUCUGGCUAAUAUCCGGAGGGAUGAC
rnacentral:rRNA from 1 species